rnacentral:tRNA from 1 species
GCCGAUGUAGCUCAAUGGCAGAGCAGCUGAUUUGUAAUCAGCAGGUUGGAGGUUCAAGUCCUCUCAUCGGCU